CAAUAGCGUAUAUUGAAGUUGUUGCGGUUAAAAAGCUCGUCGUUGGAUUUCUGUUGAGGUCGAACAGUGCCGCCCCAUGGGUGCGCAACUGGCUCGGCUUCGGCAUCUUCUUGGAGAGCGCAUCUGCACUUAACUGUGUGGAUCGUACUUCAAGUCAGUUACUUUGAGGAAUUGUGAGUGUUUCAAGCAGGCUUACGCCGUUGAAUCCGUUAGCAUGGAAUAAUAGGAUAGGACCUCGGUUCUAUUUUGUUGGUUUUGAGAGCUGGGGCAGCGAUUGAUAGGGACGGAUGGGGGCGUCCGAACUUUACUGUCAGAGGUGAAAUUCUUAGAUCGGUCAAAGGCGAACUACUGCGAACGCAUUCGCCAAGAAUGUUUUCUUUAA
rnacentral:rRNA from 1 species